rnacentral:ncRNA from 1 species
GACGGGUUGAGAAAGCUGAAUACAAUACCUUUAUGGAAAUAAGCUUCGCUGUCUUUGAGCAGUAGUUGAAACCUGUCGCCCUAUG